UGGCGAUGCAUGGUGGCCCAUUAGGAGGUAGUUUAUAACACUGCAAUGCGUUAGCGUCGUUAACAAAUAACUGGCUAUCGCUAACAUUACAUGGAGCGUAACGUUAGCUGGUUUCAGGGCAAAAAUGCCAGCUGCCUCAAACAUACAUAAUAUAGGACCGUCUUUCAGGUGCUUCGCCAAAUUCCAGGUGUUUCCUCGCUUUGUUUGAAAUGAACGAUAGCAUCGGUUACACACCGGAAACCAACGCUACCUUUCCUCUCAACAAGCUUUCCUCUCUCUGCCUUUCAAGGAGUUGGGGCGGAGCUAAACUUGUCACCAUUUCUGUAGUUUUUCCCCCGUGUGCUCGUAGGCGUUUUUCUUCUGCUUCUCCUUCACCACUUGUGAACCGACUAAAACGCUCGCGCAUAUUUGCUGCCCCCUUCAGUUCCGGAAGAACUGCAACUACGGUACUGUCAUUACCAACGGUACUAAGGCUACUGCAGAAAAACAAGUACUGUCACAUUUUAAGAAUGUUGGUACCGAAGUAUCGGUUCUCGUGACAUCCCUAGCCCUUAUACGUGUAUAUAUUUGUUUAGAUCUAUAAACUUAGCACACUUCAGUGGUGUGACAUCACAAUCCUGUAGCUACUGCACAAGUUUACUCACUCACCUGCUACACCACACACAAAGAAUCACAGAAACUAAGAAAGAAUUGCAGAAAGAAAAAGAAAGAAACAAAGAAAGAAAGAAUGAACCACAGAAUGAAUGAAAGAAAGGAUCACAGAAAGAAUCCCAGAAAAAAGAAAGAAUCCAAGAAAGAACAAAAGAAUAAGAAUCUCAGAAAGAAAAAAUGAAAGAAUCACAGAAAUGAAGAAAGAAAAAGAAUCUCAGAAAGAAAGAAUCCCAGACAGAAUGAAAGAAAGAAAGAACUCAUGAGAAUGUAAGUGUUAUGAAGAUGAUGAGAAUGUGAAAUGAUACGAUGAUGAUGAUGAUGAUGAUGAGAAUGUGAAGUUAUUGCAUGAUGUCGGCUGCUGUUCGGACUCGGGGCCAGAACACUGGAAUGAGCAGCGUAUUGGAGCUUUUACUUGCUCGGUGGGCCAGCAAAUAAAAAUCCCCUCUGUUAACAGGACGAAGCCCUUUGAUUCCCAGCAAUCACCUACUUAAAUAGGGCCCUGAUUAUUACACAUCCAAAAAGCAUGAUCUGAAUAAGGUCACUUCAACGAAUUAACUUUCACUAGAUCGUAUAAACGACAUAGAUAAACCAAUAAAACACGCAUCUGAUAAACGAAGGUGUCACUAUUCUUCUUUCAUGAAUACUCUUACCUGAACUGAUCGUUUUAAUCAGUAAAUGCACACCAGAUGAAUUCUUCUCAAACUCAGCAGGUCACUGUUAUACUUCGGUGUUAAUGAGUGAAAAAAGAAGAAGGGGGGGGGGGGGGGGGGAUUUAAGCUCACGAGGGCUUAGAAGUCACUUUACAAGGAAGUGAAAGCACAUUUCGAAAACCGUUCUGAAGUGUUCCACAACUAAAGCAUGAGACACAAAAAUCUAACAUUUAUUACAAAAGGUUAAUCAUGGAGUAUGGACAACCAUAGAGUCAAUAUUAGCUUAAUAUCUGAAAGCAUAGCUUAUGGAUAGAAAUAUAUA
ensembl:lncRNA